GAACGUAUAGCUUAAUUGGUUAGAGCUCUUGGACAUGUAAUCCUAGCCUUGUUUGGAAUUCUACUCUGUUCUAUAUUUUUUAGGGAUUUUCCAAGAGGCACGGGUUCAAAUCCCGCUACGUUUU
rnacentral:tRNA from 1 species